rnacentral:misc_RNA from 1 species
UUAAGUUCAGCGGGUAUCCCUACCUGAUCCGAGGUCAACCUUUAAAAAAUAUGGGGUUGUUGGCAAACACACACCCGGUCUCCAAAGCGAGAAAAUUACUACGCUUGAAGCCAAAUGGCACCGCCACUGAUUUUAAAGCCCGCCCCUAAGGGUGAAGCCUAAUACCAAGCUGAGCUUGAGGGUUGUAAUGACGCUCGAAC